UGAAUUUUUUGAUUAAAGUACCUUUUAGGUGGUCAAAUGACUAGGAUUAGAUACCCUAUUAGUCCACUCUUAAUUAACCUGGGUAGUAGAAUCGAAACCUAAAGAAUCUGGCGGUUUCUAAACCUACUAGAGGAACCUGCCCCAUAAACGACAAUCCACGAAAAAAUUCACCCGGGCUAGUUAUGCAGCUUAUAUACCGUCGUUUAGAGGACUAAAUAAAUAGAUCCUCUUAAAAGCUUAGGCUAAUAAAUCAGAUCAAGGUGUAGCUCAUGCCCGGGAGAGGGUGGGUUACAAUGAAAAUUCAUACGGAGCUUUUAUUUUAUGAUAGAAAAGAAGGUGGAUUUAGAAGUAAGACUUAAUAUACUGAAAAAGGCUCUCAGAAAUGUACACAUCGCCCGUCGCUCUCUUGUCCGAAGAGAUAAGUCGUAACAAAGUAGGUGGACCGGAAGGUCUAUCUCGAAAGA
rnacentral:rRNA from 1 species